UACGUAGGGACCAAGCGUUGUUCGGAUUUACUGGGCGUAAAGGGCGCGUAGGCGGCAAUUCAAGUCAGCUGUGAAAUCUCCGGGCUUAACUCGGAACGGUCAGCUGAUACUGCUUUGCUAGAGUGCAGAAGGGGCAAUCGGAAUUCUUGGUGUAGCGGUGAAAUGCGUAGAUAUCCUAAGGAACACCGGUGGCGAAGGCGGCUUACUGGGUCUUAACUGACGCUGAGGCACGAAAGCCAGGGUAGCAAACGGG
rnacentral:rRNA from 1 species